GUAGUACAGGCCUCAGGAUACAAAAGGAUUGGUGGAAGACUUCCCUCUCCAAUUUGAUGACGACACAUCCUCCAGGCUUCAUCAGAAAUGGGAUUUGUUCUUCAAGCCAAAUGUCAUUAAGAGGCUAAGCGGCUCACAUCAACACCAGAGUUGCGUCGCUUGGUGCAGUCAGCAGAAAGUCCCCCAGGAAGUGAUCUUGAUGAGGCAACAACCUACGACCAAGAAAUGGCUUCCCUGUUGUUGCUGUUCUCCUUCCACCAACUCCAGGGGGGACUGAAGUCUCCAAAAAUCAGUGCAUGUUAUUAUAUUAAGGUGAUUAUAAUAAUUUGUCACGUCACCUUCUUAGCCACAUAUGUAAAUGAGGGUUGUUUAAAAAGUGGAUGGAAUUGUACCAUACCUCCUCGCUGUUGGGCGUCAGAAGAGCAAAAAUUGACGGCUUCUACACCACCAUGGAUAAGCAUCUCAUCCCAUGCAAGGCAAACCGCUCCCUCGGGGGCAUGUGAUGAACUUUUCAAAGCACAUUUUGUAUUUAAUUUGUCUUACGAUGUGGCACAUGUGAAUUUUUACACAAUCCUGCAAACAACAGUGUAUAACAUUGAUGUGGGGAAAAUGAGGGAGUCAACCAGAGUUAAAGACUUGAGAGCUUAACCAGCCAGUAGCACUCUCACCCUGUGAGUAAGAAGCUAGAACAAUGCUGACCUGUUUCAUGCAUCAGAAAAAAAUUAUCCCAGCAGUCAGCAGCUGAUUUCACAUUUAAGAGUUGAACAUGGUUACUAUCCUGGACCCAAGUUCAAAUUGUUUUGUUCUCAGCAAGGCUGUAGGCAUUAGUUCCUAACAUAAGCAGGUUUUUGGAAGCACCUUAGUGUUCAUAGCAAUGUUCAGAAAAUUGCUCAAACUUCAACUGUUGCAUGUUUAUCUAGUGAGCCAGUUGCAACUACAUCUCAGGUACAUGCUUCGGAGGACCAAUUUUAUCCACAAAAAUCAAUGUAGCUCUUCCAGUGUUUCUUCUGAGAGCAAUGCUUCAGGACUUACUAAAGAUCCAACUAAAGAUUAUGCUUAUCACUGGGAAACCUUCACCCUCAAACAAAAUGAGUUUGGGCCAAUUAAAUCUUUUCUCUUCAGAGAUGAGAAUGUGGUCAACAAUGAAAUGUUUGAAACCAUCUUGUCAAAAGAUGUUUUCUCAACUAGUUGGGUUAAAGUUGAUAGUGUAGACUAUAAAGCUGGACUAGUUAUUUGCAGUGCAAUGGAAGAAGACAUGCCAGUUUUUUGUCAAAUAAGUGAUGUACUUUUGCUAUUUACAGAGAAUUUUGAUUACCAUCAUCAUGCAUUCAGAGUAUUACAAAGUGCGGAAAGAUGUCUACUAAAAAUGUCUAGGCUUAAAUUUCAUAAACCGUUUGAUAAUCA